rnacentral:rRNA from 1 species
UCUACGGGCGGCAGCAGUGAGGAAUAUUGGUCAAUGGACGAGAGUCUGAACCAGCCAAGUAGCGUGAAGGAUGACUGCCCUAUGGGUUGUAAACUUCUUUUAUAUGGGAAUAAAAUGUUCCACGUGUGGGAGUUUGUGUGUACCAUAUGAAUAAGGAUCGGCUAACUCCGUGCCAGCAGCCGCGGUAAUACGGAGGAUUCGAGCGUUAUCCGGAUUUAGUGGGUUUAAAGGGAGCGUAGGUGGAUUGUUAAGUCAGUUGUGAAAGUUUGGGGCUCAACCGUCAAAUUGCAGUUGAAACUGGCAGUCUUGAGUACAGUAGAGGUGGGCGGAAUGCGUGGUGUAGCGGUGAAAUGCUUAGAUAUUACGCAGAACUCCGAUUGCGAAGGCAGCUCACUGGACUGCAACUGACACUGAGGCACGAAAGUGUGGGUAUCAAACAGGAUUAGAUACCCUGGUAGUC